CUGAUUAUGCAUGGGCUGGAGCUGCCUCCUCUAACCUGUUCUUCUCCGAGCCGGGCAGCCGGCGGUCCUCAGCCGCCCACAGAACAGGAGCCGAAACAACCGUUCUCGAAGGCUACAGCGUUUAUUUUUCUCUUUUGGGGGGUUUUGGCGGUUGUUUCAGGGGCUCGCCAACUGGCCCCUUUAAUUAAAAGCUUCAAUAAAAGGCGAUCGCGCCAGGAAUGCACCCGCUCCUCUUCGCGCAGGAUUUGCAUAUUUUUUUAAUGCCCUAAUUUCCUUGAUGUAUGUAAAUGUAGCCGGACGUAGAGGGAGACAGGGAGCUGACGUCAAUGGACGUGACCUCGCAGCUAAACCUUGAACGUGAAGCCGGGAUGGGGGAAAACACGGAGCGGCAGCCGGCGGAGCCCGAGAGCGCGGGCGGCGGCGGCAGUAGCCGAGCCCAGGCCGGGGUGCCAAGGGACCAGUGCCGGCCCCGGGGGAGGACAAGCCGCCGCCUUCUUUCUGCACCGCGCGGCUCUCAGACUCGCCAGCCUUCCGGCCGCACACGCAGACUCUUGCCCUGAGCUUCCAGCCCCACCACACACACGUUCUUUUGCUUCCCUCAGAAAAGCAACACUCCCCAAAACAACAAACCAAAAUCAACAGAUAAAACAGAUGUUUUAGACCAAUGCUCGGGUAGCUUAUCAGAAAGAAGACUCUGACCACGGAACAUAUAUAUUUUUUGGCUUCUCUCCACAAGAAGAGGAGCGAGAGACCACAGACAACAGCAAAUCACUCCUAAAACACGAUAACUACAAGUGCUCCCUGUAGGGAGAGGUAAAUCGCCCAGCCGACUGGUGAAGUCUUCUGGUUUCGACGCCGAAAGAAGCCUGUUUGUGUGCUGCGGCCGUGCUGUGACUUUGGAUCUUGUCUUUCAGCCGGCGCCUCGGUUCCUGCCCAGCUGGAUUUGGGGGGCAGCAUUGCCUGGCGCAGGGAGAUCAAAUGAGACUGCAAAGAAGCAUAAAAUGAAUAGACAAUCCAACCAACCAAAGACCGGGGGCAGCAGCAGGCCAGCAAGACGGCAUCUUCUCCUUCCCAGCCUAGAAGCCCUGUGAAAUCGAGGAUCUUCCCCCUAAAACACAUACACACAAGAUAUGUGCAAUCAAGCUGCCACCGCUUGGUAAAAAGCCAUGGUGCCUAACCAAAAAGGAUCAGGAACAGAUCCUUGAAUCAGCUGUCACUUCUAUAGAAUGGGAUUUUUUUUUCCUUCCUCCUUAACCUGCGCUGGAAAUUGCCGUUGGCUUUAUACAUCUCUAUAGAGAGAGGCUAAAGAGUCUUGCGUGAGAAAGAAGCAAUUUACAAUGCAAAUAGAGGCCUGUGAAGGGACGGAUGCUGCUGCUCACUCGUAACAGCUUGCUGCACCUUAAUAGCUGGUUUUAUUUUCUGAUAUUAAUAGAUGAAUUGUUGGCUAACGCUGCCGGAGAUUACUUGCUGAAAGGAAAAAGAAAAGUUCGGAAUAAACUCUGAAGGCAACAGAUCUCGUUUGGAUGUUUUAGCCGCGCACACACACAAACAGAAACCAGGUCAUAUUUACAUAAAAGGAGGAAUCUUAAGCGCGGCAAGUAUCCUGGACGACCACUCUUCGGUACUGCCAGAAAGGAUCAGGACCUGGAGUCUGGCAAGAGGAAGACAGAGGCCUGUGUGGGAAGCGAGUUGUUAUCUUUGGUUAUCUAGCUGUAUGAGUGUAUUGGUCUUCAUAAAGCUAGAUAACCGAAAGUAAAAACUCCUUCAAGAUCGCCGGGGAGCGUGUGAGAAUGAAAGACUACAGCCGAGAGACAGUAAAAACCAGAAAGGUCAGGAAUACUUAUUGAAUCUAACUUUGUUUUUGUUUUGUUUUUUUCCUUAUGAUUAAAGGUGGGAUGAGAGAAAAUUAAAUGACACACACAUGCUAAAAUAUCAAGGUUCCAGAUAUGUCUUGAGAGGGGUUGUUGCAGCUGCAAAGGAGAAGUGUAUAGUGAUAAUGAGUAAAGAUGCAUGUGCAGUUUGUUCUAUUUUAAGGCAAAAGUUAUAUCAGGGAUUUUUUUCUUAGAAAGGUGUUGCAGAGAUGUCUGGUACCUAGUUUAAAAAUGAUUCCAUAAUAUGUAGACUUGGGCAGUUCCUUUGGGAGGCACCUCCCUCUCAAAAUUUGAAGAUUGUGCUUGGAAAUUACUUUACAUGUAUUUGGGCUGUAUGUCAAUUUGUACGAAAUUAGACUUUCAGAAAAGUUUAUACUGGAAGGUUAAUAAUUUGUAUCUACUGAGGACUUAGAGCUAGCAGGCAAAAUGAAAAAAAAAAAAAAAAAAGCAAGGGCUGAUUUUUAUUCUUCUAUUCAAAAUACAAGGACAGAUGCUUCUCUGUUCCAAGAGGGUUUCCUUGAGGAAGCUACUGAAGCAGAAAGACAUGAUGGAGACGAGAUCGCCUCCCCUCUUGUCAAAGUGUUAAAAAAAUGUUCUGUCUUACUCUGCGCCUAGCAUUGGAAAUGAAAGUGACAUUUACGCCACAACCCACGUGUGCGCCUCCUCUCUUUUUGUUUAAGGAUGAUCAGGUCUAUCCAGGAAACAGCUCUGGCAUCCCAAACUGAAAUAAUUAGGACGUAUAUAGACCUGACAAAAAUGGAAAGGGGGUGGGGAAUCUGAGGGUCUGUCUUGCCUAAUUGAUUCCGCUAAACGGAAUGCAGGAGAUGUGAACGGCAGGACGCUCCGAUUCCCACGCUCGGGGGCAAGUGAUAAAGCGGGGCCGGGCAGCCUAUGACAGACAGCCCUGUUGGGGGGUGGGGGUAUGAAAAAAACAUCAAGUGCACACACCAUACUCAUCUCCAUCGCUUAAGAAAGUAAAGGCAUUUCCCACCCACAGCCAUCUGCAGCUUCCCAAAUGGCAGCACCAACUGGUCUGUAGCUGCUACAUAGUCUGCUUCUGUUAAUUUUUUAACCACUGUUUAAUCUGGCCAUAAUUAAGUUUGGCUUUCUUCGUUGUUUGAGAUUUUCAGAAUUCAAGGCAAGCUAGUAGAAAGCAAUUCCAAGAAAGUCCCAUGACUGCCUGCCCCUAAUGUCAAAAUCUCAGUCCAUGAGAUUAUGGCCUUGUGACCACAUUUUUGCUUUUGUUUUGGGUGGGCAAAUGUGUAUAGAGAUAAAAUACAUAUCUCUAUAUAACAGUCGUUAUUAUAAUUUCAUGAGGCUUUUUACCUCUUAACAUGAUACAUCUAGGAACUUGGUCUAAUUGUGCUAGUAGAUAUACACUAGAAGUAAAACUAUAAAGUCAUUAGCCUGUAGAAAGUUGAUUAUGAUAACAAUAUGAUAAAAAGUUUGUUUUGGAAUAGUCUCAGCUAGAUGGGUCUAAAUAGCCAUUUUAAUGUAAUCUAAAAAUAACACUAUGCCUAGCAGAAACUUUGGCGCUUUGGAGGUCCCCAUUGUCGCCUUUUCAUAAAAGUCCUUAAGUUUUCCAUAUGUCACCAAGCAAACAUUUGUAUAGGCAUUUACACAGAAAUAUAACCAUUGCAAUUAGAAAAUAUCCAAAAUAGCCUGUUAUCUUCCACGUGGCCUAGAUUAUUGACAAUCCCAAAUAUACAAUUUUUCUUUAAAAGUAGUACAAUUUCCUUUGUAGCUUCAAUUCCUUAUAUGACUUCAGACUGGAGAAGCCUGUUAAACCACUGUUAGUUUCAGUUAGAAAGUCUGAGAGACUUUAUACAUAAAUUCUCAAUUUGGCUGCUGUACACGUGCCAGAGUUUUACUACUGUAGUGACCGUUGAGAAGACCCUUGUUUAUUUACAUUUGAAGCACUGUUUGUGCAAACAACCUUUCAUUGUUAAGUGCCUGUAUUCCUUUCAUUUACUUCAUGUCCAGGGGUGCUAUUUACCUAGAACCAUUGUCUACUACAAUUAACAUUUACAUUACAAAGUGUGUGGUUUUCUUUUUCAAGGAGGUUCAAUUAAGGCAAUAAGAUGUUUGCUGGAGAAACCUAUUGUUUACUGAAAGCACUCAAUGAAGUCAAAUUACUGAAGCUUUUGCCUACAUCUUGGUCUUUUAUGUAAAUAUGUUAAAUAUAACAUCUAAGGAAAAUAAACAAUAUUAUAAUUAUGUGUUUGCCAUUGUCAUAUCAAACUUGCUUUGUAUCAUACUAAUGUUACAUAACUUAUCGAUCAAUAAAAAUACAUUUCAAUGUUA